GAUGAACGCUGGCGGCGUGCCUAAUACAUGCAAGUCGAGCGAACGGACGAUAAGCUUGCUUCUCUGAUGUUAGCGGCGGACGGGUGAGUAACACGUGUAUAACCUACCUAUAAGACUGGGAUAACUUCGGGAAACCGGAGCUAAUACCGGAUAAUAUUUUGAACCGCAUGGUUCAAAAGUGAAAGACGGUCUUGCUGUCACUUAUAGAUGGAUCCGCGCUGCAUUAGCUAGUUGGUAAGGUAACGGCUUACCAAGGCAACGAUGCAUAGCCGACCUGAGAGGGUGAUCGGCCACACUGGAACUGAGACACGGUCCAGACUCCUACGGGAGGCAGCAGUAGGGAAUCUUCCGCAAUGGGCGAAAGCAUGACGGAGCAACGCCGCGUGAGUGAUGAAGGUCUUCGGAUCGUAAAACUCUGUUAUUAGGGAAGAACAUAUGUGUAAGUAACUGUGCACAUCUUGACGGUACCUAAUCAGAAAGCCACGGCUAACUACGUG
rnacentral:rRNA from 1 species